UGAAUUCAAAAUAUUACACCAAAACUCAAAUAAAAAUUAUCCACUAAGUAUGGUUACAUCUAUAUUUAAAAACAGUAACAAGAAUGAUCUAUAUCUAUUAUUAAGCAUCUAAAAAAACAUAACUCUUCAUCCUCAUGAAAUAGAUAUGCUGCUAAUUCUCACAACGUAUAAUUGAAUUGUUGCUCAACUACCUUCAUCAUGUUUUGUAUCAUUUGCUUCAUCUUCACUCGAACUCAUAUUCUACUUUUCGAGUAGCACGUUUUGCGUCUAACUCUUUCUCUAUACUGCAUACAUUGGAAGGUAGUUGACAUGUUAAAAAAUAUUGAGUCUUGUGUAGAUCGUGACUAUAUAUGAAAUCAUUUAGCAACAUUCAUUUUAAAGAUUGGAUGAAGUUAAAAGACUUUAAUGCCUAGUAUUUCAAGGGGGUCACUUGAUCUUUCAAUGCACGCAGUCUCAAUCCUUCUAAUUUCCGAUAAGUUGGAGGAAGAAUUGUUUGAAAGGACUAAGAAAAAUAUAAACAUUUAUGUUACAAUGAUAAAAUGGCACGUUAAUAUAUCCUGUUUUCCCUUCCGGUCCUACCCAAAGUUUUGAGAAAAUCCUAUGCC
rnacentral:lncRNA from 1 species